GCAGGCUCCUAGCGGAGAAGCCUGACGCGGGGCUCGAUCCCAGGUCUCCGGGAUCACACCCUGAGCCGAAGGCAGAUGCUGAACGACUGAGCCAUGCAGGCACCCCGGUAUUUUUCAUGUUUGAAUUUAGACCUUGGAUAACCCUGUGCCACUUCGUGAAGGUUGUACAACCAGAUCUUGGGUGAUAAUCCUGCGUGUGAUUGGCUAAACCAGAGACCACUGCAGGCCUGUGUGACUCUGGAGGGGACUUUCCUCCUUCAGCUGGCUUGGCAAGACCCCUCCUUCUGGAAAUAGCUCCCGUGAUGCUGAGGUAGGAGAACUGUGUACCUCAUCGCGGGUGAUCAGAUGCCUUGGCUCAGAAGCAAAGCCACUGACACUGACUUUUCACUGGUAAAGACAAGAGGUGUGGCCAUGCCUGAACUCGAGGAGCUAAAGAAAUGCAAUCCUCUGUGGUCCCCGAAAGAGAACCGUGAAUACUGCUGAACAGCACUGAGGGUGCUGGUCUACCACCGUCACAAGGCUACAAGACAUUUGAUAAGAAAAACAGUUUCCAUUUUCUGGAAAAAACAGAGUCUCCAAGCACCAACUUUGAAACACCCCUUCCACAAGAAACACGUGAGCCUGAGAGACGGCAGAGCAGGCCACCGUCUACACUGAGCUCCGGUGGGAGCUGGCCUGUGGCCUGUAGGUCGCUGGCUGGGAGAUUUCGAAGCUUCUGGGGACCCACCGGGCCAGCCCACUUUUUCUGGCAGUGACAAAUCCUACAUAUCUUCUUCUUCCUCUGACAACAGUGGCUUCUCAUUGUUUUCUCAGUUUUGAUUUACAAGAGGAGCACAUGUGGGCUCCUUCGGCAAACUUCUGUUUGUCCUACAGCUAGAGCAAAGAAGGGUACGUGCAGAGCACAGCGGGUGCAGCGCUGGGUGACGUGGGAAGACAGAGCUGGGGCCCGGCCCCCCACGCCCAGACUCUGGAGCACACUGCUGAGGAUUUCUAACUCCAGGGCUGCUCUCUCCUUCAUGGUCCAGAGGUCACAACAAGCAUCAGCCAUUUUUGGACAGCCACAUCUUCUAGUUCUACUGUUUCUAUCGAACAGGCAUCUUUCAGCUACCACCAAAUCAUUAAAAGAGGCAGAAAAAAAGCAUGUUCCCUUUUGAAGGAUUUGCAUUAUUUUGUUAAGAUCUUUAUUUUUCACACCCAAGGCCUGUUAGGGUAUCAUGAAUUGACCGAGGCUUCAUGGGGGUAAAGGGAGGGGGACUAAAUUCACAGGAAGGCUAUGGAAAGGGCAUCAUCUUGGAUCUUAAAAGGAAGACACCAUGGGAAGAUGCCCUUAGGGUGGUAUUUUUUUCUCUAACCAGGAAACUCUUAGUUGUCAUGUAGAAGAAUAUGAAUUUUUGAGUUCAGGGCAAGCGGUCCUAAGUCCCAUCAGGCCUGUGCUGGGUUGUGCUUUGUUCCACGAGCUUAUGUCUAAAGAGGAAAAGAAGUGGGUUCGUGACAAGAAAUCUGCAGAUCUGCCCAGACGCCCUGAGAGAACUGGCAUCGUGCUCCCAGCAGACAGGAGUAGACACUGCAUCCUGGUCCGCUCUGAGUGAGCCGGACAGUCACAGGGCGUGGGCUGGCACACUGAGGGACCCUCUGCAUUGAAUGCGGAUGAGUGGCAUGACAUCCUGUUUUGGUCAGGGACUGGAAACUUCUGGCCCAUGGGUGACACUCCAGAUGCCCAGUGCCUAGUGUCUGUUUGCACAGAGACCUCUGUGUUGUGUGUUGCGUGCAGGAGGGAAGGGGUGUUAUUUUGCGUGAGCACCUGGAAGGAGAAGGGAAAGAUGGGGAGCAAGGAGAGGAUGCAAGUUCUCUACUUCCCCAACUUGCCUGAGGGUGUGUCUGUAAAUUGUGUGACUGGAAAGUACAGACCCAGGCCCCCUCAAAGCAGCUGUGGUCACUGAAGUCUUGAGCGGAAACCAAGCUGCUUGCCCUCCUCCCCUCACUCCUCCAGAGCCUACAGAGAAGCCCCUGAGCCAAUCAGAAAGACUCUCAAGCAGUUCAGGUGCCGGGCAUGGUGGUGACCUUUCUCAAGAGGGCGCUGGUAGCAGAGGUGUGGGCAGGUGCCUUGGCAAAGUUGGCACGGAAGAACUUGGAAGAAAUAAAUUGCGGGAGAUGGGUAGAGGUCUGGCGAUUACAGCGGGUAGAAGCUGAGAGCCCUUAUGAUGUAAAUUUCAAUGUAAAGGUGGUCUCAUUUGUAGCCACAGGAGGGUGAGGCUGGAGAUAAUCAGUUUAUGUGCACAAAGAGCCAAGGAAUAUCUAUUGCACCCACCCAUCCCCCCGCCAGGUCAAUGACCAAUGAAAAGAGACCCAUCCGAGGCUUUCAGGAGCACAGCCAGAGUCUGUGCAGCACCUCUGAGCAUUUGUAGGGAGAGGAUGAGCUGGGUGCUCUUGGCUGAGGACAGUCAGGAAUGGCAGUAAAUGGCCCUGAGCCUGUCCUCUGCCUGUCCUUCAUUCACUCAUUCACUUAUUCAACAGAUGUUCAUUGAGCACCUAGUAUGAACCAUGCACUAUUCCAGAUGCUAGAGAUAUGGGAAUGAACGCCACGAAUGAAAGGUCUUGCCAUCAUGCAGCUUACUCUUUUAAAAGUAGAUAGAUAAUAAGAUACAUUUUCAAACUAUACAGUACAUGAGAUAGCAAUGAGUUGUAAGGAUAAGGGUGAUGGGAAGAAUGGAGGAAAUUAUUAUUUUAAUUUUAAUUCCAGUGUACUUAACAGUGUUAUAUUAGAGUCAGGUGUGCAAUAUAGUGAUUCAACAAUUCUAUACAUGACUCAGUGCUCA